rnacentral:rRNA from 1 species
UACGGAGGGUGCAAGCGUUAUCCGGAUUCACUGGGUUUAAAGGGUGCGUAGGCGGGCUAUUAAGUCAGUGGUGAAAGCCCCAGGCUCAACCUGGGAACUGCACUCGAAACUCCCGGUCUUGAGUGGUGGAGAGGGAAGUGGAAUUCCUGGUGUAGAGGUGAAAUUCGUAGAUAUCAGGAGGAACACCAGUGGCGAAGGCGGCUUCCUGGACACCAACUGACGCUGAGACGCGAAAGCGUGGGGAGCAAACAGG